CACGUAGGGCGCAAGCGUUGUCCGGAAUUAUUGGGCGUAAAGAGCUCGUAGGCGGUCUGUUACGUCUGCUGUGAAAACCCGGGGCUUAACCCUGGGCUUGCAGUGGAUACGGGCAGACUAGAGGCAGGUAGGGGAGAAUGGAAUUCCCGGUGUAGCGGUGAAAUGCGCAGAUAUCGGGAGGAACACCGGUGGCGAAGGCGGCGUUCUGGACUGCAACUGACACUGAGGGAACGAAAGCCAGGGGAGCAAACGGG
rnacentral:rRNA from 1 species